CGCCAAUAGGUGAGACACCAACUCCGCUCUCUCCACAAAUGUGAUUUAGCUUUUUCCGCUCAAGCGUUCCAUACUGUGAAGUUGUACACAAAUGAGAUGCAUUAUCAAUCAUUUGAAAAAGUUCAGUAACCUUAGAAUCCAAAACCCUUCAACACCUUCUCAAAGUAAGAACAAACCUGCACUGACAAGAUGGACUUCAAUAAACCACUAAAUAAUUUCCAAGCCACAUUUCAGACUAUAUGAGUCUAUGGUCAAUUGGUGUUUUCAUGAUUGAUAUCCAGGAGCCACAGGGACAAGUGUCUUAGGGCCACCUACUGGAAAUUGCACAGCCUACAACUAAACAAAAGAUCACUAAAUGUUCAAUUUGUUUGAAUUGUGAUAAUUUGGUAAGCAAAGGCUUCAAUGGAUUUCAUGAAAGAGAGAUGCUCUCACUGACUUAACAGGGUCCUUUUAUCAAAGUUUAUUACUGUACCAUGGGCCAUUGCCGCAGUUGACGUCUCGUUCUGCCCAAUGUAACCCUGGGUGGUUAUAAACAGAGCAAAACCUGAAUCCUGUUUCCCGCUCGAGGCUGGAGUGUAAGGACCACAAAAGCUAAUUACAAAUGGAUUUAAAUCUUUAUUUAGCCUAAUACAGUACAGUGCAAUGGUUAACCUUAAUCCAGUGUUACCUGUGUGAACUCUGGGUCGAACAUGAUUGGAGAAACUAGCCGACAGCUUGUGGUGUAAGCUUUGGGGGCGAAACCCUUGUGACUUCCCUCUGUUGUGUCUGUCUGUAGCAAUGGGCCCUACAGUACUAAGCACUGCACUACCAACCUCAUAGGGGAAGUGUUUACAUACAAUGAUUACUUUUCACACUUCAUCAUAAAUAAAACUGUAAUAGUACAUCAGAACCCCUUUUAAGAAUCUUAAGAUACAAUAUGUCUGAUUGAAGGAAGGGGUCUUUAAAUAUUGAUGCUUGGUUUUAGAGAAGUAACAUCUAACAUAAAUCUUCUUGAGCUAGAAAAUGCCCCUCAUCUCUUCUGGCCUUCCGUCUCUGCCCGUCUGCGUCUGUCUGAGACAGCAUUGCUCCUUAAGCGUUGUAAGAGGAAGAGGAAACAUUGCCACCGUGGCCUGUCCAGUUGGUGUGGAUGUACUUGCCAGGGUUUGACAGAAGUUCAUACGUGUGCGCUCCAAAGUAGUCCCUCUGGGCCUAAAGUGACAAACACACAGGGUUAAGAGUUGCCUCAGUAAAAUGUUGUUUUAUACCUUCUAUAUUUUUGCCAAUAAAGCGACGCAAGACGCUCUCGCAGAAGUGGACACCAGAACAGCCCGGCUGGCACAUAACAUUUUUGUAAUGUUCUGCAACGUUUUCACAACUUUGUAAAACGUUUCCUUGCUAGCUGGGCGUAUGGGUGGGCCUAAAGGCUGCAGUAUCCAUUUAAAUAUGGUAGUAACAUCAUCGUCUUAGGGUCUUAAAGUCCACCAGCCUCCCCCUGCAUCUAAACAAACACUACCCUUAGCUAACAUCCACACGUGACAAGACCGUUUUAAUCUCCUUCACUUUGACAUAUGUUCUUGUAGGGGGAUCUUUGUGCCCUGAAGAGAGUGGUGUGUUGUGUCACUGAGUUGCUCCUUAAGCAUGGUAAGAGGAGACGCUUCCACCGUGGCAUCCAAUGUGUUGUUACCUGGAGGAGGUUAGCCGGGAGCAUGUCGUGUCUGUAGCCGUCGUAGAAGGACAAGGCGGUGGUGAAACAAGGCAUAGGGAUCCCCUGCUGCACUCCAAUGCUGACCGUCCGGCGCCACGAGUCCUACAGCCAUGACAAAGACAAGCACACGCAUGAACAAAAGCACACAGAAUAAAUCGCUAACCCUCUGGGAUUUGGGAACAUCAGGGUGAAUACAGUUAUUUCAAGUUUAUUAGACAAGAUCAUUGCAAAGCAAUAUGACAUGAACACUUAUAAUCACAUAAUUAGAUAGCUACAAGGGGUUUAUUUAACGCAGAGACCAAAUACAGUAUAACUUUGUAAAUGUUGCCCUGUCUUGGGCCAUACCAUGUACAACACUGCGAUUAGAUUGCAGUAUGAAUAAGAAGCCCAUGACAUGCGUAUCAUCUAUAUUCCAAAAACACAUUUCCACCAAUAACUAACAGCCCCAUCAUAUUCUCCCUUUGUGGGCUGGGAAAUGGUAUGUAUCAAUAUAGCAGUGGGGUGGUAACUUCUUUUUCAAAGAGGAAACAGCCAUGUGUUGCUAACGUGGCCACAAAGGGGUGGGCUUUCUUUCAUCACUUCCUACUCCCCUAGGUGCAGAUUGAGGAUCAGCUUCCCUUCCCCCAAUCCUAAACUUAACCAUUAUGGGGGGAAAAAGGUUCAAAAUGACCCAAGAUAAGCAUUUCAGGGCAGAUUAACCCUACUCUCCUUAACUGUACCUGGCAAUCCUGUACGGCAUUACUGAAGAAGGUAUCCAACAGCAGAUUCUGCAGCUCAGCAUCCCUGUCAAAGGCCUCUUUGAUCUUCCCCAGGAAAACACUGGAG
rnacentral:lncRNA from 1 species